CUGAUAACUCUUUCUGCUCAUUAUCAGCUUGGAGCAAUGAAGAGUGGCUGAGAAAUAUCUUAAAGAGAAUGAGAACAGUCUUAGGAGGCACCUCCUUCAAGGAAAAUCCUGGCACAGCCAUCAGGUGACGGUAAAGCCAAGAGAACACAAAGAAGUGUAUGAGACAUAUUUGACAAAAUCACCCAGCAGAAAAAGACAAAAGAUAUGGAAGACAUUUCACAGAAGAGAAAACACAAAUGGGAAACAAAACACAAAAAGAUACUGAACCCUGUUAGUAAUGAGAGAACUCAAAUCACGGUAAGAUACCAUUUCACACUUAACUGAUCAGCAAAAAUUAAGACAUCAAGAAUACCAAGCAUAGGGAGGAGUCUCAAGAAAUAGGUAGCAAAGAAUCACCAAUCUAUCU